ACCAACAUAAAAAUGAGGGAUAAAAACCCCGUAGUUCGUGGUAAAAAUUUCAAAUGAGUUGAUGAAUUGCUUUUAACAAAAACUUAAGUAUAAGGGGCACAAGAGGCCAAAAAUUUGAAUGAAAUUGUUAGUUAUUUUUGUCUUUUGAAAUUUGAGUCAAUAUGGUUAAGUUUAUUUACAAGUUUGAUUUAAGAAAAAAA
rnacentral:lncRNA from 1 species